rnacentral:rRNA from 1 species
UACGUAGGGUGCAAGCGUUGUCCGGAUUUAUUGGGCGUAAAGAGCUCGUAGGCGGUUAGUCACGUCGGAUGUGAAAACUCAGAGCUUAACUCUGAGCCUGCAUACGAUACGGGCUGACUAGAGUGUUGUAGGGGAGACUGGAACUCCUGGUGUAGCGGUGAAAUGCGCAGAUAUCAGGAAGAACACCGGUGGCGAAGGCGGGUCUCUGGGCAACUACUGACGCUGAGGAGCGAAAGCGUGGGGAGCAAACAGG